rnacentral:rRNA from 1 species
GACGAACGCUGGCGGCGUGCCUAAUACAUGCAAGUUGAGCGCUGAAGGUUGGUACUUGUACCAACUGGAUGAGCAGCGAACGGGUGAGUAACGCGUGGGGAAUCUGCCUUUGAGCGGGGGACAACAUUUGGAAACGAAUGCUAAUACCGCAUAAAAACUUUAAACACAAGUUUUAAGUUUGAAAGAUGCAAUUGCAUCACUCAAAGAUGAUCCCGCGUUGUAUUAGCUAGUUGGUGAGGUAAAGGCUCACCAAGGCGAUGAUACAUAGCCGACCUGAGAGGGUGAUCGGCCACAUUGGGACUGAGACACGGCCCAAACUCCUACGGGAGGCAGCAGUAGGGAAUCUUCGGCAAUGGACGAAAGUCUGACCGAGCAACGCCGCGUGAGUGAAGAAGGUUUUCGGAACGUAAAACUCUGUUGGUAGAGAAGAACGUUGGUGAGAGUGGAAAGCUCAUCAAGUGACGGUAACUACCCAGAAAGGGACGGCUAACUACGUG